UACGAAGGGUGCAAGCGUUACUCGGAAUUACUGGGCGUAAAGCGUGCGUAGGUGGUUCGUUAAGUCUGAUGUGAAAGCCCUGGGCUCAACCUGGGAAUGGCAUUGGAAACUGGCGACCUAGAGUGCGGUAGAGGGUAGUGGAAUUCCCGGUGUAGCAGUGAAAUGCGUAGAGAUGCGGAGGAACACCGAUGGCGAAGGCAGCCCCCUGGGCCGACACUGACGCUCAGGCACGAAAGCGUGGGGAGCAAACAGG
rnacentral:rRNA from 1 species